rnacentral:rRNA from 1 species
AGUGAACGCUGGCGGUAGGCCUAACACAUGCAAGUCGAACGGCAGCACAGUAAGAGCUUGCUCUUACGGGUGGCGAGUGGCGGACGGGUGAGGAAUACAUCGGAAUCUACUUUUUCGUGGGGGAUAACGUAGGGAAACUUACGCUAAUACCGCAUACGACCUACGGGUGAAAGCAGGGGAUCUUCGGACCUUGCGCGAUUGAAUGAGCCGAUGUCGGAUUAGCUAGUUGGCGGGGUAAAGGCCCACCAAGGCGACGAUCCGUAGCUGGUCUGAGAGGAUGAUCAGCCACACUGGAACUGAGACACGGUCCAGACUCCUACGGGAGGCAGCAGUGGGGAAUAUUGGACAAUGGGCGCAGGCCUGAUCCAGCCAUACCGCGUGGAUGAAGAAGGCCUUCGGGUUGUAAAGCCCUUUUGUUGGGAAAGAAAAGCAGCAGGUUAAUACCCCGCUGUUCUGACGGUACCCAAAGAAUAAGCACCGGCUAACUUCGUG